AGCGAACGCUGGCGGCAGGCCUAACACAUGCAAGUCGAACGAAGCCUUCGGGCUUAGUGGCGGACGGGUGAGUAACACGUGGGAACGUACCUUUUGGUUCGGAAUAACGCAGAGAAAUUUGCGCUAAUACCGAAUGAGCCCUUCGGGGGAAAGAUUUAUCGCCGAAAGAUCGGCCCGCGUUGGAUUAGGUAGUUGGUGUGGUAAAGGCGCACCAAGCCUACGAUCCAUAGCUGGUCUGAGAGGAUGAUCAGCCACACUGGGACUGAGACACGGCCCAGACUCCUCCGAGAGGCAGGAGUGGGGAAUCUUGCGCAAUGGGCGAAAGCCUGACGCAGCCAUGCCGCGUGAAUGAUGAAGGUCUUAGGAUUGUAAAAUUCUUUUACCAGGGACGAUAAUUACGGUACCUGGAGAAAAAGCCCCGGCUAACUUCGUGCCAGCCGCCGCCGUAAGAC
rnacentral:rRNA from 1 species